CCCCUCUUCAUCUGGACACUGAUCCUCUGGACUCAAGAAUGCAGAGGUCAAGCAACAGUUACUCAGACUCCUGCAGUGAAAUCUGCUCUUCCAGGAGAAAGAGUCACCAUCAACUGUAAAACUAAUCCCCAGGUCUAUCAAGGCUGGGGUUAUCAACCUUUAGCUUGGUAUCAGCAGAAACUUGGAGAAGCUCCUAAACUUCUGAUCA